rnacentral:rRNA from 1 species
GAUGAACGCUGGCGGCGUGCCUAAUACAUGCAAGUCGAGCGAACGGACGAGAAGCUUGCUUCUCUGAUGUUAGCGGCGGACGGGUGAGUAACACGUGGAUACCCUACCUAUAAGACUGGGAUAACUUCGGGAAACCGGAGCUAAUACCGGAUAAUAUUUUGAACCGCAUGGUUCAAAAGUGAAAGACGGUCUUGCUGUCACUUAUAGAUGGAUCUGCGCUGCAUUAGCUAGUUGGUAAGGUAACGGCUUACCAAGGCAACGAUGCAUAGCCGACCUGAGAGGGUGAUCGGCCACACUGGAACUGAGACACGGUCCAGACUCCUACGGGAGGCAGCAGUAGGGAAUCUUCCGCAAUGGGCGAAAGCCUGACGGAGCAACGCCGCGUGAGUGAUGAAGGUCUUCGGAUCGUAAAACUCUGUUAUUAGGGAAGAACAUAUGUGUAAGUAACUGUGCACAUCUUGACGGUACCUAAUCAGAAAGCCACGGCUAACUACGUG